AUUAAACGGGGCAGCCCCGAUGUUCCGACACCCCGUUAGUCCGACACCCCAUUGGUCCGACACCCCAUUAGUCCGACGCCCCAUUGGUCCGACACACCAAUAGUCCGACAAUACAAUUAAUCCCGAUCAAUUAUUAUAGUAGUAAGCUGAUAUACAGAAACUUACUAAUUUGUGAACCUAGUGUUAGACUAGUUUUUAGAAAGCAAUCAGGGACACAUCGAUAGUACUAUUAUGUAAAUGUUUAUCUUUAUGAGGAACAACAUAAGAUAACUUGCAUACCGAAACUGUGAACACACACUUUCCACAUCAAUUAACUAGUCACAUAACCCGCUAUCCGAACGGAAUUUCUUACCCCUCACCCCUCCAUUGCGGGAAAUGCAAACAACAAUCUUCAACUUCAACUCAUUUAUUGGUAAACAAAUUGAUUCAAUAUUGUUGAUUAAAGAUAUACAGUCGUUGGGUAGUUUGACCGAAUCCGAAAACUUUUGAGUUCUUUCUUAUUUGUUUGUUUAUUGUUUGUCCUAUUAUAUUAGAUAUAUUGUAUUUGAAAUGAUAAAAGUGAACACAAAUUCAGGAAUUUUGCGACUUAGAUCAAGGGGUUCCCCUAGAGUAUCUAUAUCAAAGGAAACAAAAAAAUCAACUUGUAAGUAUACAAGAAAAAGGACAAUACAAAUGUUCAAGUAAAUUAAUCCCUACACAUUUUUGUUUAGAGGUCAGCUGAAACACGCCUCCGGGUGCGGGAGUUUCUCGCUGCAUUGAAGAACCAGAAGUGGCCUCUGGCUGUUGUCUGUCGGAUUGUUGUCUCUUUGACACAUUCUCCAUUUCCAUGCUCAAUUUGACUAUUAAGAAAAAUAAAAGUUGUUCAAAACAAAAACUCGAACUCACAACCUGAAAUGUAACUAGUUGAUCUGGAAGGAUAUAAACAACACUACAAAGAAAGUCUCAUCAGAAGAUCGGUAUAUUCUUACUUGUUACCGGUAUUAGAAUGUACAAUGAUAGUAGUUUCACGGAACCAAGAAAAAAAACCCACGUACAGGUAUAUUAUUACAAAAAGCAUCUAGCUGGUAUCAAAAUAUCAACAAAAUAAAUGCAGGUUCAAAUAUUGGAAGUAAUGUUAUGGCAGUUCUGUAUUUGUUUUAAUACGUCCGUCAAAAAAUUGACUGAACGUAUUAUGGUAUACAAAUGUCCGUCUGUCCGUUUGUCCAAUUAUUUGUCCGGCGUAAAUAUAUCGAACCGUAACUUGAGAACGACUCAUCUAAAUUUCAUGAAACUUAACAUAGUUGUUUCUUAUGAUAGUCAAACGAUCUGUAUACUUUUUGAUGAAAAUAAGAUUAAAACUUUUUGAGUUACGGGACUUUGUAACUAUAACAGGGGUGUAAUUUUUUU
rnacentral:lncRNA from 1 species